CGGAGAUUCAGCAAUGGAUCUUAGUGGCGAACGGGUGAGUAACGCGUAGGCAAUCUGCCUUCUAGAUGGGGACAACAUCCCGAAAGGGGUGCUAAUACCGAAUGUUGUACCGUUUCCGCAUGGAGAUGAUACUAAAGGUGGCCUCUGAAUAUGCUACCGCUAGAAGAUGAGCCUGCGUCUGAUUAGCUAGUUGGAGGGGUAACGGCCCACCAAGGCUUCGAUCAGUAGCCGGUCUGAGAGGAUGAACGGCCACACUGGGACUGAGACACGGCCCAGACUCCUACGGGAGGCAGCAGUGGGGAAUCUUCCGCAAUGGACGAAAGUCUGACGGAGCAACGCCGCGUGAGUGAAGAAGGUUUUCGGAUCGUAAAGCUCUUUCGUUAGGGACGAACGUGCUCUUUGUGAAUAAUGAGGAGUAAUGACGGUACCUAAAUAAGAAGCCACGGCUAACUACGUGCCAGCAGCCGCGGUAAUACGUAGGUGGCAAGCGUUGUCCGGAAUUAUUGGGCGUAAAGCGCGCGCA
rnacentral:rRNA from 1 species